ACGGCCUCCCCGUGAACUUCCAAGCCGUAGUGUUGGUUCCCGCCCGCAAGAGCGUGAAGAAGCUACGUGACGUGCUGCAACAACUCUACGCACAUCUGGACCACUCCGCACAGCACCACGGAUCCAGUGCGCAGGACAGCGCAGAACUGGCCGGGCUCGGCUUCGGCCAAUCGGAAUACUACCCGUACGUGUUCUACAAGAUCAACAUCGACAUGAUAGAGAAGGCGGCCUAGGCUGCACGCGGCUAUUACUGUUAGGUAUAUAUUUGUUACCAGGUUGCGCAUAGCUCUGCCGGAGGCCCUAAGCAAUAGUUGCAAUCUUCGUUGUACAAUAUAUUGUUUUAUUUCACAAAUAUCAAAUUGUAAACACAAAUUAUAUUUUACCAAACCCUUGGUUCCCUUGUAAAAAAAAUCGUAUAUUAUAUAUUUCCAAUAUAUUUUUCUAUGUACAGAUUUUUUGAUGUUUUAAUAAUCUACAUUUUGAUUUUUUUGACAUUUUAAUUUUGUGUGUUAAAUAUUAUGAAGCAGGUUGUUGAAAUGGGAGUUUGUCCUGUUUAUAUGUAUGUUAUUUAUAAAUAAAUAAGAUGCCAUUGAAUAGAAGUUGUAACGCAAUAAUUCUCUGUGUAAAAGCUUUGCUUGAAACGGUUUACUUGAAAUUCUUGUAAACGUCACAACAUAAUUUAUUUCCAGUAUUAUUUAGUUGCGUUCGACACAGUAGUCUAAUGUAUAUCAAUCCGAUGGUAACUGUAAAAUAAAUGUUCAAUAAAAUAAUUAUAUUGGAGUUAAUGAAAUGCAAAAGCUAUGUAAAUAAGAACAUUCCUCAUUAUAACUCGUGUAGUACAUAAUAAAAAUAUUAUUCAAGUUACUGUUU